rnacentral:lncRNA from 1 species
CAGCCACUGGCUUCCCUCACCCGGCCUUCUCCUCCCAGCUGGGAAGCCACUCUCUCCUGCAGUCACCUUGAAUUCCCGGAAGGUCAUGUCUGUUCGAUAAAUAUCAUUACGACAAGGGACUUAAACUACCUAAAGCACCAGCGAGUCUGGAGUCUCUCUCAAGUCUCAUCUCAUGAUGAGAUUGGAGCACUAACCCUAUGGCCGGGGUCUGGGCCCCCCUCAAGCAGAAGUCCUCUUCCCGUGAAGGGAACUGAGUCACCCCUGCCAGUCCUGAUGGCUUUCCUGAGGCUCCACAGAAGCCAUCUGUGCCCUGACUGAGAUCACCUGCAUUGGCAGCUGUGCCAUCCAGCGGCUCUGCACACCCCACCCCCUGCCCUUGUUCCCCUUUUCUACAUAACCUCAAAGGUCCUGUCAGCCC